UGUUGGUGGAAUUGUAAAUUAGUACAGUCAUUAUGGAAAACAGUGUGGAAGCUUCUCAAAAAAACAAAAAUAGAUAUAUCGUAAGUCCAGCAACCCCACAACCAGAGAAACUCUAGUUGGUGGUUUUUCUCGUCUGCUAUCUUGCUCCACCUGAAAGUCCCAGUUUUUAGAAUACCAGGAAAGGAGGCACUUGAGAGCAGGCAUAUGUCGGGGAGUUAGCUGAGAUUAGGGAGAUGAACAAAACAAUCCAUGAAGUUGGUCAUGAACUUCUGGGCUUAUCCUCAAGCUACACAUGUGUGGAUAUGUAUGUAAAGAGCAUACCAAAGGCUUUGAGAA